CAAGAAUCUACAGGUCGAGCAAGUCUCGUAAAUUUCACGAUUGCGAGCCACGCUUCACGCAACCGUGUUUGCGUACUUGUGUUUCGAGUUGCGUGGUCGUGCGGAGUUAUAUUUACCAAAUUUAAAUGUUUCUACUUCUUCUCUUCAUUUGAAUGGCCUUAGCUGCCAGGGCUAUCCGGCCAGAAAAUGUUUCUACUGAUUCAUACGCUGUCAAAAUUAAAUCAAUAUGGCUACUGGGUGUAAAAGAUAAAUCAAAAUCUUCUAUCUGUUCUUAAUGAGUUUUAGAUAAUUUUAGUUGUAUUUCUUUGUAAUUUUGUGUUGUACAAAGAUUAAUUUAACAUUUUCUCUGGAAGUAUUAAUUUAGAAAGAUAAUUAUGCUUCAUUGGUGUUGUGUUUUGAAGUGUGAAAUGCAAAGUAAUUGUGAGAAAGUUCACUUUUAAACUGAACUAAAUAAGGUAUCUGAGAGACAACAAUGGUUAAAUGCAAUACAAUGUACAGGUUUUACUAGCGAAAUGAAAAUUUUCCUGUCCUGUCUGCUGUAAUCAUUUUAUAUCUGGAAAACCAGCCGACUUAAUCGAUAAUAACAAUCUCCAGAUUGGGUUCCUUCAAUAAAUAUGGGCUAUUAACACAAUGAAAUAAGUUCCAGAAAAUCUAAAAUGGAGUGGUAUCAAAGGAGAAUUAAAGGAAAAAAUAUUCAUAUUGAAAUUAUUUAUAAGGCACUGGACUGUCUUAAAUUCUACAAUAAUACUAGAAUCAGCUGAGAGAAGUGGUCUACAAAAAACCAGGAAGGAAACGGAAUAUGUGGCUACGAAAGGCAAAAGAAAGGUUUACAAAGCAAAUGUGACACAUUUUUUUGAAAUAUUUAGGAAUAUCAGUAAAUUGCAUUAAAAAAAUGUAUGAAAAGAUUUUGUUCAAUAAAAAUGUUUAUAUUUAUCAAGGAUGUAUUAUUUGGUAUG